rnacentral:lncRNA from 1 species
CCUGAGUACGGUGUGAUAGUUGAGCUACCUGCAGGGCCCCUGGACGCGUGUGAGGGCCAGUUGAGGGGUUGGGGUUCUGUGGGCGUGGCCGUCGUUCCACCGCACAGUUGGGGACAUUAGAGUUAGGCUUGAGCCCCCUCCCCCAGUCCCCCAGUGUCCACCCUCGCGGAGGGGUGAAGUGCGGGCUCCGCAAGGGGCAGUGGAUGCCGUGGUUUUACUUCUUUCCCACCGCGGUGCUUAGAAAGGGGCACCCGAAGAAUCGCUCCGUGCCUCUACACCAGUCUACAGCAUGCCUGCGUAUGGGUUCAAAAGGUGGCACAGUGACUGGCACAUAGCAGCGGCCCCAGGUUAUCUGAGAACCAAUCAAUGAACAAAGACCAGCCUGGCUCCAGUUGUCAGUGUGGAAGCUGCCACCACGGAUACAGAAGAAAAAAGGGAAUUUCAUUCACACACUGGGAAAUCACGGCAAACCUACCUCACUGUGUUGAAAUGGGACGAAUGCAAACGAAGGCAUUGGGUGCUGUGUGUCUGGUCCUGGGUUCCUGCCUCCCUUCAGUCACAGUAUUGAUCCGGGCUCUGGAGGACUUCAGUUACUUUCUGCCAAGUUCACUCUGUGAUACCCUCAGGAAAUACGUAUCUCGCAGGUUGUUCACUGAUGCUUGUGUGAAAUGCCAGUUGAGCGUCCAGAUCUGA